rnacentral:tRNA from 1 species
GGAGAGUUGGGUGAGUGGCUUAAACCAGUCCCCUGCUAAGGGACCGAACCUCAAAAGGGUUCCGCUGGUUCGAAUCCAGCACUCUCCG